CACGUAGGCGGACUGGAAAGUUGGGGGUGAAAUCCCAGGGCUCAACCCUGGAACUGCCUCCAAAACUAUCAGUCUAGAGUUCGAGAGAGGUGAGUGGAAUUCCGAGUGUAGAGGUGAAAUUCGUAGAUAUUCGGAGGAACACCAGUGGCGAAGGCGGCUCACUGGCUCGAUACUGACGCUGAGGUGCGAAAGUGUGGGGAGCAAACA
rnacentral:rRNA from 1 species